rnacentral:rRNA from 1 species
UGGCGGCAUGCCUAACACAUGCAAGUCGAACGGAGAAUGUCAAAUGAAGUUUUCGGAUGGAUUUUGAUAUUCUUAGUGGCGGACGGGUGAGUAACGCGUGAGCAACCUGCCUUUCAGUGGGGGACAACAGUUGGAAACGACUGCUAAUACCGCAUAAUGUAUACGGAUCGCAUGGUCUGUAUACCAAAGAUUUAUCGCUGAAAGAUGGGCUCGCGUAUGAUUAGAUAGUUGGUGAGGUAACGGCUCACCAAGUCGACGAUCAUUAGCCGACCUGAGAGGGUGAUCGGCCACAUUGGGACUGAGACACGGCCCAAACUCCUACGGGAGGCAGCAGUGGGGAAUAUUGGGCAAUGGGCGCAAGCCUGACCCAGCAAUGCCGCGUGAAGGAAGAAGGCUUUCGGGUUGUAAACUUCUUUUGUCAGGGACGAAGAACGUGACGGUACCUGGAGAAAAAGCAACGGCUAACUACGUG